UACAGAGGGUGCGAGCGUUAAUCGGAAUUACUGGGCGUAAAGCGUGCGUAGACGGCUAUCUAAGUCGGGUGUGGAAGCCCCGGGCUCAACCUGGGAAUUGCAUUCGAGACUGAAUAGCUAGGGUACGGUAGAGGGAAGUGGAAUUUCCGGUGUAGCGGUGAAAUGCGUAGAUAUCGGAAGGAACAUCAGUGGCGAAAGCGACUUCCUGGACCAGUACCGACGUUCAGGCACGAAAGCGUGGGGAGCAAACAGG
rnacentral:rRNA from 1 species